rnacentral:pre_miRNA from 1 species
GGGGGGAGCGCCAGAUCCUGGGCUGUGUCCCCGGUGCCCUGGGCUCCCCGGCCUGCGCCGCUGGAAUCGCGCUCCCGGGGCCGUGCAGCCCCCU